UUGGGAAUCUUGCACAAUGGGGGAAACCCUGAUGCAGCGACGCCGCGUGGAGGACGAAGGAUCUAGGUCUGUAAACUCCUUUUGCACGGAAAGACUUAGGACGGUACCGUGUGAAUAAGCCCCGGCUAACUACGUGCCAGCAGCCGCGGUAAGACGUAGGGGGCGAGCGUUGUCCGGAUUUACUGGGCGUAAAGAGCGCGUAGGCGGCUUGUUAAGUGUGAAGUGAAAUCUCCAGAGCUCAACUCGGAAACUGCUUCGCAUACUGGCAAGCUAGAGGAAUGCAGAGGUAAGUGGAAUUCCUGGUGUAGCGGUGAAAUGCGUAGAUAUCAGGAGGAACACCCAUGGCGAAGGCAGCUUACUGGGCAUUAACUGACGCUGAGGCGCGAAAGCGUGGGUAGCA
rnacentral:rRNA from 1 species